UAUUUUCACCCGUAAAAUCAUUUCAACAGUUUCUUUUCACAAUAACCGAGAGAAACCGAGCGGUGUUCUUCGUGUUCUUCAUAAUCAAACGAGGAUUUGAAGGUGUUAUUGGAAUCCGAUGGAGGCGUAUGAAUAGUCAAAACGAAGCUCUCGACGCGUAGAUUAUAGUUUAAUCAUCAAAACAAGCGCAGAAAGGCUUAAAGAUGAGAUGAUUGAUUGAGAUUGUGAAUAAGGCUAAUGCUAGGCGAGGAGACAGAGUUGAGGAUCCAAUGGUCGAGGAGUGUUCAGGAAAGUUGAUGAGGUUGAUGCAAGCUAGAGCUGUGCUAUAAGGAUUCAAGUGUAAGUCAUAGCUGGAAUAGUUGACAGUGAUUCUUCUUAUCGAAGAUGAUAUGAUUUGGUAAGAAAAGUUGUGUAAUAUUAGUGGUUGAUUCUAAUUUCAAUACUGUAACCUGGAUGCGAUCCUGUUGUUUUAGGGGGUUAAAAUGUUCUCAUUCAAAUCUUUUAUUAAAUGUUUUCAAGUUUUAAAUUC